UCACGAGUCCCCGCAUCCUUCCGCUACGGCUGAUCUCUCUCCGUCAUCUGUGUUCAGCUCCGCUGAACUAGGGCAAGUCGGAGAUCACUGCCCGCGCGGCAUUGCCCCUCCGGGGAAAAGCUUCGGAAUGCGGAUGGAGGAGCUCGAGGACUCGAUCUGUUAAUCGAUUGGUUCAUAUUUGUCUCGCUCCCUCUCUGGUUGUGAUUCUCAGCAUGGACUCGAACGCGCCAAGCACUGUUGAUUUCCUUAUCGCAGUCUACUUCGCCGUCGCUUUCGUCGCGGCUCGCUUCUUCUUCGACAGAUUCAUCUUCCGAAGGCUUGCCAUCUUGUUGCUGAGUGAUGGGCCUACUCCACUUAAGAUUAAUGAGGCCGUUCAAGCGAAGAUCGGUAAGAUAUCAGAAUCUAUGUGGAAGCUAAUGUACUAUGCUACUGUUGAAGCAUUUGUUGUGUCAAUCACUUACCAAGAGCCGUGGGUUAGAGAUACAAAAGACUGUUUCAGAGGCUGGCCCAAUCAAGAACUGAAGCUUUCCCUUAGGCUUUUCUACAUGUGCCAAUGUGGUUUCUACAUCUACAGCAUUGCUGCCCUACUUACAUGGGAGACUCGGAGGAAGGAUUUUGCUGUCAUGAUGUCUCAUCAUGUAAUAACUGUCAUCUUGAUUGGUUAUUCCUUCUUGACGAGGUUUUUUCGGAUAGGCUCUAUUAUUCUUGCCCUCCAUGAUGCCAGUGACGUGCUGAUGGAAGCUGCAAAAGUCUUUAAGUAUUCUGAGAAGGAGUUCAGAGCAAGUCUGUGCUUUGCAUUAUUUGCCCUCUCGUGGCUCGUGCUAAGGCUUAUAUUCUUCCCCUUUUGGGUCAUCAAAGCAUCAAGCUAUCACGUACGUGAAGUUGUGCCGCUAUCAGAAUUCUAUGGCUGUUCCUUAUACUAUAUAUUCAACACGAUGCUUCUGACUCUGCUUGUGUUCCAUAUUUACUGGUGGGUUCUUAUAUACUCAAUGAUCACGAAGCAGCUAAAAAACAGAGGCAAAGUGGGAGAAGAUAUAAGAUCCGAUUCAGAGGAUGAUGACUAGAUGGAAGUUUUGGCACAUUCAAAUCAGUUCCUGAUGAGGAAACUAGUUAUGGGAGCGUAGCAUUGAUCCCUGAUUUUUGUCCGGCCCCUUUCGGGACAUUUUUGGAGAGGUAGGGUAAUGAAGGAAAUCUUUCCCAUUUUUUCCCCUUUUUGGCCUAUAAAUCAGUAGGCUAUUCCUUCUGUAAUCCCUCUUUCCGCUCAUAUGAUAGACAGAUUGGAUUAAUUGAGAAUGUCCCAACAUGGACAAGAAGAAAACGCGGAGUCCUUCUCGGAGAAUUGUUCUUCCCUCA